CAGUAGUAACUCCCUCCUAUCAAGCGGAGCAACCUCAAUCAACUUUGGAGGCCAGUCCGUGGCCUCAUCAGUAACGGAUCUCACGGGAUAUUCUAGAGAUGGCUGUAGCAAUGGAGGAAGCACCGCCUCAUUGACCUCAACAGAAUACAAAGGCAAAGGAAAAUUCGACCAUAUGGACACUUUGUCGCAUGGACAUUUGAGACGACGGGAUCCUUCCGGACUGAGUGAUAUUUCAGCCGAUUGCUGGCCUGCCGAUGAGAUUGGAGGAGAAAUUACUUAUCAUAGAUAUUACCACGUGUUCCGGCAAGGUGAGCUCGAGAAGCUGAUUGAGAAAUACGUAGACGAUCUGCAUGUGGUUUCUUCGACUUACCAACAUGCCAGCUGGUGCAUCAUCGCCGAAAAGGUUCAAAUCUGGACCAUCUGACUGCCGAGUCAUAGCUUUAACAUUGGCCUCAACAGUUGGCCGUUCUUUCGCACAAUGUAUAUUUCUAGAAUAGUACUUUAUAUGCCUUUGACUGCGUGAGAAAAUGCCAAAUGUUUUGUUGAAACUGCACUUGUUAGUCAUGAAAAAUAGCACACAAAACGGCUUAAAGAAGCAGGUUUUCUUGGUUGAGUUUUUGAUGGUUUUAACCCAUGGAGGCAGAAAUGUGUACAAAAUAUUUUUUUCACACUUUUCCGGUGCAGGUUUUAAAUGUUUUCAAGCAAUUUUGAUGUGAAUUUCUUCACGGUUACGUUUCAACUUGAAAGAUCCCGAGGCCUUUCACAAGUGCAGUUCUGCAACAUUUUCACCGGCUUUCGGUUUCAUUUCACUGCUAUUGUUUAAAUAUUUGAACCAUUCCUAAUCCUAUCUAAUAGAUGCUGUGAGUUAAUCAGAA
rnacentral:lncRNA from 1 species